UACGUAGGGGGCAAGCGUUAUCCGGAUUUACUGGGUGUAAAGGGAGCGUAGACGGCUGUGCAAGUCUGAAGUGAAAGCCCAGGGCUCAACCCUGGGACUGCUUUGGAAACUGUGGAGCUAGAGUGCUGGAGAGGUAAGUGGAAUUCCUAGUGUAGCGGUGAAAUGCGUAGAUAUUAGGAGGAACACCAGUGGCGAAGGCGGCUUACUGGACAGUAACUGACGUUGAGGCUCGAAAGCGUGGGGAGCAAACAGG
rnacentral:rRNA from 1 species